CCUACGGGAGGCAGCAGUGGGGAAUAUUGCACAAUGGGGGAAACCCUGAUGCAGCGCCGCCGCGUGAGUGAAGAAGUAAUUCGUUAUGUAAAGCUCUAUCAGCAGGGAAGAAAAUGACGGUAACUGAGUAAGAAGCCACGGCUAACUACGUGCCAGCAGCCGCGGUAAUACGUAGGGGGAAAGCGUUAUCCGGAUUUACUGGGUUGAAAGGGAGCGUAGACGGCAGUGCAAGUCUGGAGUGAAAGGCGGGGGCUCAACCCCCGGACUGCACUGGAAACUGUACGGCUGGAGUGCAGGAGAGGUAAGUGGAAUUCCUAGUGUAGCGGUGAAAUGCGUAGAGAUUAGGAGGAACACCAGUGGCGAAGGCGGCUUACUGGACUGUAACUGACGUUGAGGCUCGAAAGCGUGGGGAGCAAACAGGAUUAGAUACCCUUGUAGUC
rnacentral:rRNA from 1 species